GCUAGCAGCUGUACCACAUCUGCAAGUCCCAGCUGGCAGCCCACUGGAGCUCAGCAGGUGUGAGCCUGGCCAGUACCUGGAUGGGAGACCUCCCGGGAAAACUAUGGUUGCUGCUGGAA
rnacentral:rRNA from 1 species